rnacentral:ncRNA from 1 species
UAUUUGGUGGAUGCAGUCGUCUUCCAAAUUUAAUGAUAACAAUUUGAACAGGCUAAUUUGCGCAAGAGUGUACAAAAUGAGUGCGCGGUUUGGCACCUCGAUGUCGGCUUAACUUAUCCUCCGGGAUGCAGGACCUCGGUAGGGUACGACUGUUCGUCGAUUAAAAAGUUACAUGAGCUGGGUUAAAUACGUCGUGAGACAGUAUGGUUUCUAUCUUCUAGAGGGAAUUAGAAUAAAAUAAGGAAUAACCUAGUACGAAAGGAACGUGGGGAAUUAAGUUAUUCUGGGUAAUACCAGGGUACACUUUAUUAACCUCUGGUUUACCUGUUGUUUAUACGCCCAAUAUUAAUUUAUGUAUAGGUUUAAAACCUCUUUAUACAGGGAUGUUACUUUCACUUAGGUAGGUAAAUAGUAUAGGCACGGCAGGAAAGCUAAGUUAGUCCAAGAUAAGUGCUGAAAGCAUAUAGGCACGAAGCUUACCUUAAGAUAUUUCUUAAAUAUACGUAAUAUAACAUUACGAAUACUAUAUAGGCUUUUUUUGUAAUAAUCAAGAGAUUUUGAGGAAUGAAGUACUAAUUUUAUAA